rnacentral:rRNA from 1 species
CCUACGGGAGGCAGCAGUGAGGAAUAUUGGUCAAUGGACGAGAGUCUGAACCAGCCAAGCCGCGUGAAGGAUGACUGCCCUAUGGGUUGUAAACUUCUUUUAUAAAGGAAUAAAACGAGGCACGUGUGCCUUUUUGCAUGUACUUUAUGAAUAAGGAUCGGCUAACUCCGUGCCAGCAGCCGCGGUAAUACGGAGGAUCCGAGCGUUAUCCGGAUUUAUUGGGUUUAAAGGGAGCGUAGAUGGUUUGUUAAGUCAGUUGUGAAAGUUUGUGGCUCAACCGUAAAAUUGCAAUUGAUACUGGCAGUCUUGAGUACAGUUGAGGUAGGCGGAAUUCGUGGUGUAGCGGUGAAAUGCUUAGAUAUCACGAAGAACCCCGAUUGCGAAGGCAGCUUGCUAAACUGUGACUGACAUUGAUGCUCGAAAGUGUGGGUAUCAAACAGGAUUAGAUACCCGGGUAGUC